rnacentral:rRNA from 1 species
AGCUAUGAUGGUUAGCUGAUCUGAGAGGUUGAUCAGCCACACUGGAACUGCGACACGGUCCAGACUCCUACGGGAGGCAGCAGUAGGGAAUAUUGCGCAAUGGAGGAAACUCUGACGCAGCGACGCCGCGUGGGUGAUGAAGGCCUUCGGGUCGUAAAGCCCUGUCGGAGGGGAAGAAAAACAUGCUUAUUAAUAUGAAGUGUGCUUGACGGUACCCUUAAAGGAAGCACCGGCUAACUACGUGCCAGCAGCCGCGGUAAUACGUAGGGUGCAAGCGUUGUUCGGAAUCAUUGGGCGUAAAGCGCGCGUAGGCUGCUAAUUAAGUCGGGUGUGAAAUCCCUGGGCUCAACCGAGGAAGUGCAUUCGAAACUGAUUAGCUAGAAGACGGUAGAGGAAGGUGGAAUUCCUAGUGUAGAGGUGAAAUUCGUAGAUAUUAGGAGGAAUACCGGUGGCGAAGGCGGCCUUCUGGGCCGUGCUUGACGCUGAGGCGCGAGAGCGUGGGUAGCAAACAGGAUUAGAUACCCU